rnacentral:tRNA from 1 species
GCGAGGGUGUCGGAACUGGCAGACGAGCUGGACUUAGGAUCCAGUGCUGCGAAGCGUAGGGGUUCGACUCCCCUCCCUCGCACCA